GACGAACGCUGGCGGCGUGCUUAACACAUGCAAGUCGAACGGAAAGGCCCUGCUUUUGUGGGGUGCUCGAGUGGCGAACGGGUGAGUAACACGUAAGUAACCUGCCCUUGACUUUGGGAUAACUUCAGGAAACUGGGGCUAAUACCGGAUAGGAGCUCCUGCUCCCUGGUGGGGGUUGGAAAGUUUCGGCGGUUGGGGAUGGACUCGCGGCUUAUCAGCUUGUUGGUGGGGUAGUGGCUUACCAAGGCGUUGACGGGUAGCCGGCCUGAGAGGGGAACCGGCCAAAGUGGGACUGAGAUACGGCCCAGACUCCUACGGGAGGCAGGAGUGGGGAAGAUUGCACGAUGGGCGGAAGCCUGAUGCAGCAACGCCGCGUGCGGGAUGACGGCCUUCGGGUUGUAAACCGCUUUCGCCUGUGACGAAGCGUGAGUGACGGUAAUGGGUAAAGAAGCACCGGCUAACUACGUG
rnacentral:rRNA from 1 species